rnacentral:lncRNA from 1 species
UUAGCAUAAGAUGCAGAGAAUAUGCACAACUACAAUUAUUCACUUAACUUUCACUCUAAUCUAAGUUUAGCUUCUUUUUUUUUUGAACUAAAAUAUAGACAUUGUUUUUUUGAAUAAAGCUUCAUAAUGACAAUUCCAUGCACGUUUUCAUGCAAAAAAGGGAAGCUUACAUAAUUAUCUUUCAACUUUUGGAAAUUCAUGUCAAAAGGUGAGUUUCAUUUUGAACUAUACUAGAUUCACAAUUUUUCUGUCUUUUAUUUCAGGCCUGAAAGCAUGUUCUUUUCCUCUUUAAUUAUAUUGCGUUCGGAGUCAAAAGGACCACUUUUUUCUUUACCCACCAAAUAGAUUUGGACAACUUUUUCACAAUUUAAACAUCGAUCACAGCAUAGUUUCUCUAUUUUAAUUUAUAUGUCCCUUGGUACGGUGUUUGAUGACUUUUUUUUACCCACCAAAUCGAUUUGCACAACUUUUUUCACAAUUUGAACGUCGAUCGCAACAUAAUUUCUCUAUUUUAGUUUAUAUGUCCCUUGAUACGGUGUUUGAUGACUACUUUCUCUGUUUUAAUUUAUGUGUCCCUUGAUACGUUGUUUGAUGACUAGAUACAAAGUUACAAUAGUUUAUUUUAGAAUAUGUGUAGUGUUGGAUAAUUACUUGGCUAUUCUUGAUGGCGUGAGGUUUUUCUAUUUUUUAAAAAAUGUGUGAAUUUGGACUAUAAAUUAAAUAAUAUCAUACCAUGUUUAGAGCAUUUUUUAAUUUGAUCAUUUAAAGAUUGAUAUAGAGAAAAUUAUUACUCUUAAUUAUUGAGUGUUUAAAUUUAAUUAAAUUCAAAGAAUUUUUAGUAAUCACAUACUAUAUGCAUUCAUAUUAACACAUUUUUAAUUUUAGAAAAAAUUCAAAAGUACGUAGCAUUCACACUAGGAAAGUUCGUACAAGUAAAAUUAUGUAAAGUAUUUACAAGUAUUUUUUUUUUAAUGUAAAAGGUACUUGAGCACAAUUGAUAAUUUAAUUUCAAAAAAAAUGUUGCAAUAGAAUUUAAGACUAGAUUCCCUUCACUUAGCAUUAAUUUAACUAAUAAAUAAAAUUUAAGUAAGUGCGGCGUUCCACAUAUUUAAUACUAUGCUUCUAUAGUCUAAGUGAAAGGAAUUAGGCAACAUUAUUUAAUUAGUCCUCACUAAUUACUUGUGUGGGCCCUACUUCUUAAUUAAUUACCUACCCUUGCCAUGCAAAAGAUGCAAUUAAUUAAUUAAUUAGUACUAGCCAACUUAGUUAAGCUAGCUAGCUACACAUAAUCAAAAUUCUACUCGCUAUGUAUAGCUCCUUAAUUAGGCAUCAUUAUGUAUAUAUAUGCUCGGAUUCUCUAAUAAUGUUAUCGUAGCUUCAAGAGUAUGAACAACAUAUAUAGUAUAUAUGUAGCUACGUACCAUUUUAGUAAAAUGAACAAAACGCUACGAGAAACUAAUAGGGGGUAAUGCUAAAUGCAGAAAUUUAAAGGUCUAUAAUAUCCUUUUUUAUUUUAAAAUUAAUUGAUUAUGUCCCCAUUUUUAAUCAAAAGAUAUUAAAUUUAAAAAGGGUAAAAAUGUCCAAAAAGAUAAAAUAAAUAGUGUGUGAAAUAUGUUAUUUUACCAUUCUGGCCAAAUUCUGACUAAAUUUUCUAGCCAAAAUGAUUUUUCCUUACCAAUAAUCCUUUCGUAAUAAUCCCAGUAUAAUUUGUUUUCGAACUAAGCAAUCCCUAGCUAGAGGCGAAACAAGGAUUAGGAGUUUGAGAGUUCUAAAUUUUAUUAAUAAUCGUCAAUCAACUUUGUUAAGAAUUCACAAUUAAUAUACAUAAAUAUUUAAUUAAUUUUCUAGUACAAAUUAGGAAUUCGUCCGAACCCAUAAAAACCCCGCCUAGCUCCGCCUCUGUCCCUAGCUAUACACAUAUUUCAUAAAUCGGGAGGAGUAAAGAUCCAAUUGAAGACUAACCUUAAUCCUUAAAACACAUAAAAUCACACACCAUUCAUAUUUUCCCAUUACUUCACCACCAUAUACAUAUAUAGUUCAUAAUGAAUAAUAAACUGAAAGAUAAAAUUAAGCCCCACAAUAUAAUAAAACAACAAAAUACGUAAAAUACAUCUCUAUCCCUUGUAAAAGCUUAUACAAUUAGCUCAUAGAUUGAGACAAAACAUAUAUAUUUAUUUCCUCAUCAUCACAUGCAAGUGUGAUUCUUUUUCAGUGACAAUAACGAGACUCGAAUUCAGGACCUAGCUCUGAUACCAUCUGUCAUUCAUAUUGAGAGUUACUUUCCAUGCUUAUACUCAUCCCAAUUACUUUCCUAUUUAGUUCCACCACUUGAAGUAGAAUUUCCAAAAUGUGAUCCACGAUAUUUCACAAAAUCUUCUUCUUCUUCUUCGUGCGUAGUUAUAACUUGUUGCUGCUCCUCAUGAUAAACUGGAACUUCCAUUGAUGAUUGUGAAAUAUCAAAAGAGUGAUAAAAAGUAUUUGGUGAAACAUCGAAAUUUAGAUCGAUAUUAUUGUCAGUACGAAGUAAUAAAUCAGCAUAGUGAUGAACAUUAGGGUAAUUUUGUUCAGAUGUGUUGUUUGAUGACGUGGCAGGUUGAUCAUAGCAUUGGAAAAACUGUCCUUGAACUCUUUCAGGGAAAUUGAGUUUAGCUUUGUUUCCUUUGAAUCUUAGAGCAGCUUCAUCAUAAGCAAGUGCUGCACCUUCCGCUGUUUCAAAAGUACCUAACCAAACCCUAGCUGCCUUUUUCGGGUCCCGAAUUUCCGCUGCCCAUUUACCCCAUGGCCUUUGACGAACUCCUCUAUAUCGCCUUCUUUCUGAAUUAAAUAACACAUGAUACCCACGCUCACAUCAAAGCUUCUAGGUGUGAGGGGCCAACCAAUAAAAAUAACUUAAAUUAUUAGACGAGAUAGUAUUCAGAUAGAAAUAAGAGAAUAUAUACCUUGAUCUUGAGUAGACGAUUGAGAUUGAUGUUGCUGAAUUAGGGUUAGUGGAUUAACAUGCACUGAGGAGGAAUCACCACUAGCUGAAGACGAAGAGUUACCAAUGACUUGAGAGAGAGCAGAAACCAUAGCAGACAUGUCAUGUUGAGAUCGAGCUGAUGAGUAUAUUGGGAAUAUGUUACUAGUGUCUU